rnacentral:tRNA from 2 species
UCCUAGUUAGCUCGGUUGGUAGAGCGCUCCACUGGAAAUGGAGAGGUCCCUGUUUGGAUUCCAGUACCAGGUG